GACUCACGAGAGAUUGGAGAGGUAGAUUCACACAGUGAUAGUGCAAGCAGCUUGCUUCUAAUUAAAUAUGCGACUGAGUCUCAAUGCAUUUGCUUUCAGCCGCAGAGAGAAGAAGCUGCCCAAGAAUGGAAAGGAAGAAAUAUAUCACAUCAUCUGUCUGUCCACAGGCUUUCCUUGGGGCUUAUGAAGUGAAUGAAGGAGGGAAGAAAGGAGAGACAGAGAAAAUAUGGAUUUCCUCAUGGUUGUGAUUCCUCUUCACUCUUUUGAAUUUGGAAGGAUGGCAUACACAUCUGAAAAAUAGUAAGUAAUGUGUGAUUUAUUUUUCAAUUACUGUUACUAAUUGUAAUAAAGCUGAAAUUUGAUUACUGGAGGAGUUUGAAAUCAUCAUGCAUGCCUUGAAGGAAAAUGGGUUUUGUGAAACAUUUGCAUUAUUUGGUGUGAAUUACCUUUGGUGUGAUUUAACUGUUUAUCACACAAUUACUGUUGUGAUAAUGAAUGUGUUAUUCACUAUUGCUAAAUUUACCCAGUAUAUUCUGUAAUAACUAAGUAUUUGUGCCAUAUAAUAUAUGCAUUCUUAGUGCAACAGUUUAAGAAACAAUGCAAAAAUUGCAGGGAACUGUCUUUGGAGAUGCUAAGUUUUCUUGUUUUAUAUACCACACAAUCUUCCUCACACAUUUAUAGUUUUAAUUCAUAGUAAUAAUGUUUUCUAGAGACCUUUCUAUUUAUGCCUGAAAUGAAAUUCUCAUAUAAAUUAUGUGAGCUUAUUUCUUCAAAAUGAAUAUCCAGAGAGAGGCAAGAAUUAUUCUGACAUUAUUAAACUGCAUUUUUAAUGCAGUUUAAGUGACAUUUCUUAUAAUUUAAUCAAGCAUUAUAAUUAAAAUAACAAAGCUUUGAUUAGAGACUUUUUUUUUCAUUUGGGAAAGUGAAAAGUUCAUUUUUACCUUCCUAAAAAUAAGACAGACAUAUGCUAUCUGAAGACAUGAUACCUUGGAUUAGAGUACAUGCCACAAGUAUUUUUUAAAACAUAGAUGCAGCAUUGGCAUUUCUGAGUAACUACAGUGCAUAUUUUAAAUAUAUAAAUGCCUUAGAAUGAAGCAAUAUGGGGCAGAAUUAGUUCUGAAAUCUCUGAGGUAGCUUGAACAGUAUUUGCAUUAGGGCUGGCACUGCUAAAGCAAGCAGAUCCUGGGAAUUUCAUGUAGGCAAACAUGAGAUCCUUGUUUCUGGAGACAAGAAAAAAAAA
ensembl:lncRNA SOX2-OT SOX2 overlapping transcript